rnacentral:rRNA from 1 species
AGAGUUUGAUCCUGGCUCAGGACGAACGCUGGCGGCGUGCUUAACACAUGCAAGUCAAGGAGAACAUUUUCUUCGGAAAAUUAUUAAACUGGCGAACGGGUGAGUAACGCGUAGGCAACCUGCCCUAGAGAUUGGGAUAACCCCGGGAAACCGGGACUAAUACCGAAUAAUGCAGCGGAUCCUUUGGGAUACAGUUGUUAAAGUGGGCUUCGGCUCACGCUUUAGGAUGGGCCUGCGUCUGAUUAGCUUGUUGGUGAGGUAAUGGCUCACCAAGGCGAUGAUCGGUAGCUGGUCUGAGAGGAUGAUCAGCCACACUGGGAUUGAGAUACGGCCCAGACUCCUACCGGGAGGCAGCAGUGGGGAAUUUUGCGCAAUGGGGGAAACCCUGACGCAGCAACGCCGCGUGACCGAUGAAGCUUCUAGGAGCGUAAAGGUCUGUCGUAAGGGAAGAAAAGUUUGGAUGUUAAUAAUGUUCGAACCUGACGGGUACCUUACAAGAAAG